GCCUCGGUUGCCAACGUGGUCAAGGCGCUUGUUUGAAGAACAAGUUAUCUCAGUUCGAUUCUGGGCCGAGGCA
rnacentral:tRNA from 1 species